GGACCCGAGAACAUCUUAUCGUGUGUAGACUGAAACCUUUGUCUCUGACAGCAACCCAACAAACCUGUUUCACCUUCAUCAGGAGGAGGAGAAAGAGGAGGAGACAGAAAGAAUCCUGUAGAACCAGACACUCUGACAACAGAGAUCAGAGGAGCAG